rnacentral:tRNA from 1 species
UCCCUGGAGGACUAAUGGUUAGGCCACAGCGCUCUAACUGCUGUGGCCCGGGUUCGAAUCCCGGCCAGGGAC